AUACGGAGGGUGCAAGCGUUAUCCGGAUUUACUGGGUUUAAAGGGUACGCAGGCGGUAAUUUAAGUCAGUGGUGAAAGCCUACAGCUCAACUGUAGAACUGCCAUUGAAACUGAAUUACUUGAGUAUGGUAGAGGUAGGCGGAAUACAACAUGUAGCGGUGAAAUGCAUAGAUAUGUUGUAGAACACCGAUUGCGAAGGCAGCUUACUAAACCAUUACUGACGCUCAUGUACGAAAGCGUGGGGAGCGAACAGGAUUAGAUACCCUAGUAGUCC
rnacentral:rRNA from 1 species